UACGUAGGGUGCAAGCGUUAAUCGGAAUUACUGGGCGUAAAGCGUGCGCAGGCGGUUAUGUAAGACAGUUGUGAAAUCCCCGGGCUCAACCUGGGAACUGCAUCUGUGACUGCAUAGCUAGAGUACGGUAGAGGGGGAUGGAAUUCCGCGUGUAGCAGUGAAAUGCGUAGAUAUGCGGAGGAACACCGAUGGCGAAGGCAAUCCCCUGGGCCUGCACUGACGCUCGAUGCACGAAAGCGUGGGGAGCAAACAGG
rnacentral:rRNA from 1 species